GACGAACCGUACGAACGUUAUUCGGAAUCAUUGGGCGUAAAGAGCUCGUAGGCGGUUCAGCAAGUCGGCUGUGAAAGUCCAAGGCUCAACCUUGGAAAUGCAGUCGAUACUGCUGUGACUAGAGUCUGGUAGAGGAGAAUGGAAUUCCCGGUGUAGCGGUGGAAUGCGCAGAUAUCGGGAGGAACACCAGUAGCGAAGGCGGUUCUCUGGGCUUCGACUGACGCUGAGGAGCGAAAGCAUGGGUAGCAAACAGG
rnacentral:misc_RNA from 1 species